rnacentral:tRNA from 3 species
GCCGGGGUGGCGAAAUUGGUAGACGCAUCAGACUCAAAAUCUGACGGGAGCGAUCCCAUGCCGGUUCGAGUCCGGCCCUCGGUA